rnacentral:rRNA from 1 species
AUUCCAGCUCCAAUAGCGUAUAUUAAUGUUGUUGCAGUUAAAAAGCUCGUAGUCGGAUUUUUGUGUCAUGUCGAACUGUCUGCCGAUUGGUUUGUACGGUUUGACGGGCAUAUUCCUUCCAGAGGCUCCGUGAGGCCUUCAUUGGUUUCGCGGUUGAAUCUGGGUCUUUUACUUUGAAAAAAUUAGAGUGUUCAAAGCAGGCCUAUGCUCGAAUAGGUUAGCAUGGAAUAAUAGAAUAGGACUUCGGUCUUAUUUUGUUGGUUUCUAGGACCGAAGUAAUGAUUAACAGGGACAGUUGGGGGCAUUCAUAUUCCAUUGUCAGAGGUGAAAUUCUUGGAUUAACGGAAGAUGAACUUCUGCGAAAGCAUCUGCCAAGGAUGUUUUCAUUA